rnacentral:lncRNA from 1 species
GAGUUAGAUAUUGUCUCCUCUGACCUGAAAGCCACCUGGGCAGCAUUAUGACUUCUGACCUCCUCUUUUGGAGUAAAGAGAUCAUGGAAGUUCUCUACACUCUCCAGGGACUAGUGGGACCCAAGGAAGAUAAUAAACUGUGGACAAAACACAAAAACCAACUACUGAAGUCUCUAAAGAAUGAACAAAAACACAUUCUUCCCCCUCCACAAGAAAACAUUUACAAUGUCUGGGAUGUAAUCCAAAAUUACUUGACAUAUGAAGAAUCUGGAAAAUGCAAUCCACCCCCAAUGGAAAAGACAAUCAACAGAAGCCAACCUUGAUACGACCCAGAUAUCAGAAAUAACAAGACUUUAAAGCAGCUAUAAUUACUGCUGAGGUAAGAGAAGACAUGCUCAUUAUGGAUGAAAAGAAUGGGAAAUCUCAGCAGAGAAACUAGAAAUAUAACAACAACAAAAACAAAUAGGAGCUUUAAAACUUGAAAAAUUCAAUAUCUGAAAUAAAAAGCUUACUGGAUAGGCUUAAUAGCAGAAUGAAGAUGACAAAAAAUUGAUUGGAAAAAGGUCAGUGAAAAUUACCCAAUCUGAAGAGGAGAGAGAAAAAAAUUUAAAAAGAAAGUGUUUCAGGACCCUCUGAAGUCCCAGAAGGUGGGGAAUGAGAGAAAGUGGUGGGAAAAAACAUCAGCAUAAAUUAUAGCUAAAAACAGUCCUAAAUUUGGCAAGAGAUAAAUUUAUAAAUUCAAGAAGCUCAUGAACUGUAAAGAAGAUUAAAAACAACAUCAAUCACAAAAAUAAAUGCCUAGGUUGAUAGAAACCAAAAAUAAAAAAGUUGUGAAAGGAGACAGAGAGAAAAAAACAUAUACAGGGCAACAAUUGGAAUCAUCGGACUUCUCUUUAGAAAAUAUGAAGUCCAGAAGACACCUGGAACAAUAUUUUAAACUUUCUGAGAUAGGAGAAGCACACUUCACUUUAAAUAUAAAGGCACAGACAGGUUAAAGUAAAUGGAUGUAAAAAGAGCAUGCAAACAGUGAAUGAUUAUCGUACUAAUAUUGGAGGGGGAAGCAUAUCACCUGCCUAGCUGCCACAGUAUGAUUUCAAAAAAAACAAGAACAUUCACCAAGAACAAACAAAAAAACCUCUUCAAAUAGACCAUGGAACUGAAUUCAAACUUGUAUCUGAUAACAGCGAUGACAAUAUCUCUCUAUAACAAUCCUGACCAGCAUAUAUCACAAUUACUACAGAGGCUACUGACAAGAAAUCCAACCUUGGUAUGCUGUACACGACUGUCCUCCCACCCUCCCAGUGAAAUCAAACAAAAUUAAUAAUAGUCUACUACAUCAGAGGGA